UCACUACAUGUUGGGAGAUUGCAAUAGAAAUUACGUUGAAUCCUGUUCAGUGACAAUAAAUGCUAUCUAUCUAUCUAUCUAUCUAUCUAUCUAUCUAUCUAUCUAUCUAUCUAUCUAUCUAUCUUAACAU